AAAUAUCAAAGAAAGAAAAGCCAUUUUUGGAAUCUAGGGUUCGACAACUUUGAAUGCUUAAUUGAUCAAGAUAAGUCGAGAUUGGGAUUAGAUUGAGGAAAAGGAAAAGUGGACAAAUAGUCGAUAAUUUCCAUCCGAGCAACUCGAGAGGUUCGUUAGCUAGCUCGAUUCGGACGGCGUCGGAGAUAAGCAUAACACUAUCCAGUCGAUCUCUUGGUACUUUUGAACUCAUGGAAGUUGUGUAAAUAUGGCAUGUAUAGGCUAGUUUAUGGGAAUAUGUUUUUUGUUACUUUAGCUUAUUGUAUAGCUAUGUGUUUUGAUGUUCUUAAGCCAUGAGAUUUGGCUUAUUUGUUAUAAUGGUCAAAUGUGCAUAAGAUGUUAU